ensembl:snRNA U2 U2 spliceosomal RNA
AUCGUUUCUCGGCCUUUUGGCUAAGAUCAAGUGUAGUAUCUGUUCUUUCCAGUUCAAUUAUUAUUUUGGAAAUUUUACCCAAAUUGAAGCUGAUGCCUCAGCCCCUCUGGCCAACUUAGUAGUCUUUAAGUUUUAGCAAGCACUUUUAGCCCCUGUGAUUAACUAAGCCUUCUCGGUCUAUCUACAGGUUAUACA